AGCGAACGCUGGCGGCAGGCCUAACACAUGCAAGUCGAACGAACCUUUCGGGGUUAGUGGCGGACGGGUGAGUAACACGUGGGAACGUGCCGUUAGGUUCGGAAUAACUCAGGGAAACUUGUGCUAAUACCGAAUGUGCCCUUCGGGGGAAAGAUUUAUCGCCUUUAGAGCGGCCCGCGUCUGAUUAGCUAGUUGGUUGAGGUAAUGGCUCACCAAGGCGACGAUCAGUAGCUGGUCUGAGAGGAUGAUCAGCCACAUUGGGACUGAGACACGGCCCAAAAUCCUACGGGAGGCAGCAGUGGGGAAUCUUGCGCAAUGGGCGAAAGCCUGACGCAGCCAUGCCGCGUGAAUGAUGAAGGUCUUAGGAUUGUAAAAUUCUUUCACCGGGGACGAUAAUGACGGUACCCGGAGAAGAAGCCCCGGCUAACUUCGUG
rnacentral:rRNA from 1 species